GAUUCCUGCUAGGUGGACCAGGUUUCACCAUGGGGGUCAGAGGUUUUCUUUCUAUGAUGACGUGGCAAAUGGAGAGGAGAGGGAGUGGGGCCACAAGAAGCAUCACAAGCACCACCAUGUUGAAGGAGAAGAGGAGCAUGAGCAUGAGCAUGAGCAUGAGCAUGAGGAGCAUGAUCAUGAGCAUGAUCACGAGGAGCAUGAGCAUGAGCAUGAGGAGCAUGAUCAUGAGCAUGAUCACGAGGAGCAUGGGCACGGGCACGGGCACGGGCACGAUCACGAGCAUGAGCAUGGGCACGAUCACGAGGAGCACGGGCACGGGCAUGAGGAGCACGGGCACGAGCAUGAGCACGAGGAGCAUGAGCAUGAGCAUGGGCAUGGGCAUGGACAU
rnacentral:lncRNA from 1 species